rnacentral:misc_RNA from 1 species
UGAAGGAUGGAAGGAGGAAGGGGGAAAUGGUCUUAUAGGAAAAUGGUACGUAGAAGUCAUGCCUUGAUAAGGAAUAAGUUCCUUCUCCUCUUAGGAGGGUAUUAGGGAGGGCGAAGCAAAGCGAAUAAUAUGUGGCAAAGCUAGAGAAGGGGAUGGCAAUUUGUCAUGGCUUGAAAGAUUAUGUUUAGCAUUGCUUGAAAAAUGCAGCUGUAGUUUUCAGUAGGG